AACCUCAUCAUCAUCUUCAACGGUUAAAUCGGAGCUUGGUGAACAAAUUAUAGAGUUUGAGUAUUUGGAUGAAAAAUUAUUAGAGGAACUCUUGGAUCCUGAGAAUACCAUCAAUAACAACUGGUUCAAGUAGGAGUUACUUGACUUAGGGAGGAGUAUUCUUGUUCUACUUUUUAUCCUAAAUUAGUACUUAAUGUCGACUUAGUACUUUGUAAUAAAAUUGUUUUGUUGUUACAGUGUUUAUUCAUGACUUACAUAAGGUCUUAUUUUUUAUUUUUUUUUUGGCUUUCAUUUGAACCACAAUGUUUGAAUAAUAAUGUUGAUUCACACAACACGAGUGAGGUGGUAAAAUACGAGUGUAAUAAGUGUGAUGAAAAUAAAAUAAAAUAAAAUCUGUUUUUCCAUACAAAGCAAGACAUGUUUGACAUAACAUGGUCAACUGUUACCUAAUUAAGCAUCAAACUACAAGACAGAAGAUGUCAUCGUUGUUCAAAAUUAACUCAAUAAGUGAACAAAAUACAUGUCAGUUCACAAAAUCUUAUUCCAUACCAAUUAUUUAAAAGUGGGCUUCAGAAUGAGUCAUUGCUAUCAAUUGCGGUGGUACUGAUGGUCGAACCUCUAUUGCGACUUAUCAUCAAUAACUUUGGUUGUUCUUCCGUACCUUAUAUGAGGGUGUGCAUUUCUGAAUCAAAAAUAAAUAAAUAAAUAAAUAAGACACAACCACAAGACACUAAAAUCAAUGGCAAUUUUCAAUAGUUUGAUUAUAAUAAGGUACUUACAAAUUAACUCGUGAUAGAAUGGAACAAAGUUGGACAAGGCCAAAAAAUGUUAGCAGGCUUAGCCUCUAAAUUCUCCAAGUUGAAACAAUAAGUCCUGUCUUCACAAUAGAAGUAGGGCGAGUUUUAGAACGGGAAAUUGAGAAAUUUCCCCAUCUUAGGCUUAUUUGUUUCUUACCGGCCGUUACCUAUGAUUCCAAUUGAAAGAAAAUACUCAUACGGCUUGUUUGUU
rnacentral:lncRNA from 1 species